rnacentral:rRNA from 1 species
CGGAGGGUGCAAGCGUUGUCCGGAUUUAUUGGGUUUAAAGGGUGCGUAGGCGGCCCGGUAAGUCAGUGGUGAAAGCCUCCAGCUCAACUGGAGAACUGCCAUUGAUACUGCCGGGCUUGAGUACAGACGAGGUUGGCGGAAUUGAUUGUGUAGCGGUGAAAUGCAUAGAUACAAUCAAGAACUCCGAUUGCGUAGGCAGCUAGCUAGGCUGUAACUGACGCUGAGGCACGAAAGCGUGGGGAGCGAACAGGAUUAGAUACCCUGGUAGUCCACGCUGUAAACGAUGAUUACUCGAUGUUGGCGAUAAACUGUCAGCGUCUUAGCGAAAGCGUUAAGUAAUCCACCUGGGGAGUACGCCCGCAAGGGUG